CCUACGUGAGGCUGCAGUGGGGAAUAUUGCACAAUGGGGGAAACCCUGAUGCAGCGACGCCGCGUGAGUGAAGACGUAAUUCGUUAUGUAAAGCUCUAUCAGCAGGGAAGAAAAUGACGGUACCUGAGUAAGAAGCCCCGGCUAACUACGUGCCAGCAGCCGCGGUAAUACGUAGGGGGCAAGCGUUAUCCGGAUUUACUGGGUGUAAAGGGAGCGUAGACGGCAGUGCAAGUCUGGAGUGAAAGGCGGGGGCUCAACCCCCGGACUGCUCUGGAAACUGUACGGCUGGAGUGCAGGAGAGGUAAGUGGAAUUCCUAGUGUAGCGGUGAAAUGCGUAGAUAUUAGGAGGAACACCAGUGGCGAAGGCGGCUUACUGGACUGUAACUGACGUUGAGGCUCGAAAGCGUGGGGAGCAAACAGGAUUAGAUACCCGGGUAGUC
rnacentral:rRNA from 1 species